AGCUGCUUCCUUCCUUCGCCAACCAAAUAUUGUGUCGAGUGAUUCAUUGAUCGGUGAUUAGAUCAUUAUUUCCUGGGGAUUUCUCCGCCGAGUUUUCUUCACUUCGAUUUUCCUCGAAGGAAUAUUUUCCGAGACACGUGUGUGGACGUGUAUAAACGUCAAAGUUAGCGUGAUUUUGUGGAAAAUUCAAUCUUCCGGGUACCGUGCGAUGAGUCAUCCACGUCAAAAGGAAGUAGUCUCGUGUCCUCGACGAUUCACGAUCUCGUUUAUGCGACGAUGCGAUAGCCUCGGAGCAGCUCCGACGAGAGCGAAGAAAGCGAGAAAGGAAAAAAGAGAGUGGAGGGGGCAGAGAUUUCCAGACGCACGCUGGAACACGUGCUUCGCCACGUGCUUUAUCUGUCACUUGGUCGAAUGUCUGGGAAAUGGAGAAAUUGAAAAGUUACAUUUUUAUUUUUCUCUUAGCCAGACAGAAACAACGAGGCACUGUUUUUAUUGGCAAUGAAGCGAUUAUUGAUUGCUCGCCUCUACACAUAUAUAUUCGUGUCAAUCGAACCGGUCUGACCUGUCAAUACGUAUAUAUCGAUUCGAUAUAAUUGCACGAAUGUGAUCGUAAUCGUGGGAACCUCGACGGCACAUUUUUCCACCAUAUUUUUCCCUAAUAAUUAUCAUGGCCAAUUUUUUCCGCUCAGAAAUCUGUUGCAAUCACGUCAUUAAUUUGAAGCAAGUUCAUCUGGUGACGAGUUGGUCAAACGAAAAAUUAUUGCCACUAGCGUAGUUGGUCCAGUGAGUUUGGUAACGCCGCGACCUCGUAACCUGUACUCUGUCUCUACAGCUGUCAUUGAGAGAAUUUUUCACCUGCCUUCAUGUCAUUAUCAGUAUUCAAACGGGUUUGGCAUUAUUAAAACAUUGCAGAAACGUCUAAAAACCAAGUUUUUCUCAAUUACAUCAACAUUUUCUCACCCGUCCUUCAUGUAAGAAUUUGUAAUGACUAAAGUAUUCCUUCGAAAUGUAUUGACUUGACUCCCGUAUUGUUGGGAAAUCAAGACGCUCAAAUCAAGAGCAGUUCGACGUGAGGCCUCGUUGCGACACGACGUAAAUAAAUAGAUUUUACACGGC